rnacentral:rRNA from 1 species
UACGUAGGGGGCAAGCGUUGUCCGGAAUUAUUGGGCGUAAAGAGCGCGUAGGCGGUCCGGUAAGUCGGUUGUGAAAGUCGGGGGCUCAACCCUCGAAUGCCGGUGGAUACUGUCGGGCUAGAGUGCGGGAGAGGCGAGUGGAAUUCCUGGUGUAGCGGUGGAAAUGCGUAGAUAUCAGGAGGAACACCUGCGGUGUAGACGGCUUACUGGACCGUAACUGACGCUGAGGCACGAAAGCGUGGGUAGCAAACAGG